AUAUCCCGCAUCAGAGAAUUCUUAAUGCCCUAAUUCUAAUCCGUAACACCAUUUGCUUUUCAAGCAACACCAAAUAACAUGAUAUAAGAUAUUUCAAGAGCCAGGAAACCUAUAAAGCGUUGCCUUUGUUAAUAAAAUAGUAACAUUUGAAACAAAAUAAAAAAAAAUGCAGAAAUAAAAAAAACAUGGAAUUGAGCUUACAAUGGAAUAACAGGUGGAUCCAUGGAAAUUCAAG
rnacentral:lncRNA from 1 species